GGGAUGUUAAGUGGAGUUGGGGGUCGGCGGCACUAGCCUUCUUGUACCGUCAGUUGGACGGAGCAUGUAUGAGGAGUAAGCCGAAAUCUUGUCUUGGUGGUUUUGUUUGGGCCCUACAGAUUUGGAUGUGGGAGCGUAUCCCUGUGGGCCAUAACUUGACCAUUGCUCCGGAAGAACCUUGGGAGUGGCCUUUUGACGGGGAUGAGGAGCGGUAUCCCACUAUCGCAUACACGUGGGCUAAUGUCCAAGUGUCUAGUAUCGCAGCCAUGGGGCGGUACAAGGCAUACAUAAGCGAGCUUGACAUGCUUACUUACAACCAGGUAAUUAUCAAAUGCCUUGCUAUCAAUUCAGUUUUUUUGUUGUUGUGCAUGGGCUAGUGACAUGUUGUGAUGUAGGUUAAUUGGAGGCCGUACAUGGUACUUAGGCAGUUCCCUUUGAGCAAUAUGUGCUUUCGUGACCAACAUCUUUGGCGUGUGCGUUGCCCCAUGAUAUGCUUUUAUGCGGUGGAGUGGCAUCUUCCACAUCGUGUUUCGAAGCAAUUUGGAGUACAACAACGCACCCCGCCGGAGACGAGCCGGCAACACAACAAGAAUGUCAUUAAUUGGGAGGAUCACCAUCUUAUGUGGGUGGACAUGUGGAAUGCUCAGAGGAAUGCCCGAGUUGAAGAUGAUCACACACCUGACAACGACGAGGGGGCAUAUUUAAGGCAUUUGGAGUGGCUUCGCAAAGAGUACAGAGUUAUCCUUAAGGGUGCUUGGACUCGUGCCGAUUGUUUGGAAGUAAUGCCAAGUGAGGCUGCUGAUGGUGCAUUCAACAACUCUAUUAGGGAGACCAUUGGAGCGCACCUAGAUUAUGGCCCUCUGCAUGACCGAGUGGUAUGCCUUUUUGUCUCUUUUUUGAACAUGUGUCAUUUCUUCAUGAGUGGUGUGUCACUUAAGUUUUAUUCAGGGCACGGAGCUAUGGAGAUGUAUCAAUGAUAGUAAUGUGGUGCUUGGCCGCGCACGUGGUAGAGAAA